UUUUUUAAAAAAAAAUAAAUUUAUUUUUUUGAUUUUACAAAGUUAAAAAUAUUUAAAAUUUUUUUAAUUCAAAAUUACAUAAAUAAUUAAUAAUAAAAUAUAAAAAUCAUCUAAAAAUACUUUUUAAUUUCUUUCAUAUAAAACAUUAAUAAAUAUAUAUAUAAUAAAAAAUCAAUAAUAUAAAAUACUAUUUAGGAUAUUUUAUUCAAUGUUCAAUAAGACAAAUUAUUUAACAAAA
rnacentral:tRNA from 1 species